rnacentral:lncRNA from 1 species
CAAAGCAUCUUCGCGAUGCAAGGGGGUUUCACUCUUCAUUGACUUCGUGAUUGUUGGCGCAAGUUGUUGGUCAUGCGAUUUGGGGGUUAGGGAUUUGAAUGGGGUUUUCUUUCUAUGUCUUGCGAUUUUGGGUGCGGUCGUGGAGGAAAAGAAAUUUCAGGUAUGGGGAGCUGUUUUCGUUACUUUAAUUUUUCUUUUAUUACAAGUGUGAGAUGAAUGUGAUUCUGAUUGUAGUUGAUGGCAUGGGUAAUGUUUGUGUGAGUGAGUGCUCUGACGAAAAAAGAUGUUGUGUUGAACACGAACCAUUAAAAGAUUGAAAAUAAAAUUAUAUUUGUUAGUAUGAAAUUACUUUUUCAAAGGAAGAAACUUAUAGAUAGUGUUACACAAGAACUAUAAACCUAAUGAGGCUAAAGUAUUGGUGACUAAAUUUUCUUAGUUGAGACAUGAAAACUAUUAACUUUUAGAUUACGUGAUUGAUUCCGAAAUAUAGUGCGACAUCAGGAACUACUUAUAUUUCUUUCUCUGUACAUUGGCAUUUUAUCUAAAAAUUAUAUAUUUUAAAACAUUUGUACCUUAUUUGUAGAUGAAAUGGAAGAUGAUGAAAAAGAGCUAGAACACUCGUCUAUUCAGGAAAAUUUAGAUAAAGAGCUCAAAGAAUUGGAUAGAAAACUUGAGCAAAAGGAGGUAUGUAGGUUAAUUUUCAUUACAUUAUUUUAUCUUAAAAGGUUUCCGUUAACUAACUCUUUCAUUUGAAGUUAAUAGAAAUGUCCAAUGUCUUUCAUUAAUGUCUUUUAUCUUAGAAGGUUUCCGUUAACUAACUCUUUCAUUUGAAGUUAA